rnacentral:lncRNA from 1 species
AUGCACCAUCUCCCUGCCCACCUGGAACCUGGUCGGAGGACAGAGGGAAUCAAAACCUCCAUAGCUGCAGGUCCUGCCCUGGAGGAUAUUACUGCAAUGGCACUGGCCUGGUGUCCCCGUCAGGACAUUGUGCACCAGGGUUUUACUGCAUUGCCGGAUCCAUCACACCAUCUCCCACAAAUGGGAUUUCAGGGGCUCCGUGUCCAGUGGACCACUUUUGUCCAUUGGGCAGUGAGAGUCCCACUCCCUGCCCUCCUGGCUCCUAUGCUGCUGAGACCCACAGGCGGGAACGGUGCCACCCCUGUCCGGAGGGAAAAUACUGCCUCCUGGGUCACUCCCUACAACUGUGUCCCGAAGGUGAGUAGCCAGCUUCUCCACCAGGAAGGUACAGACCUGUCUAGUCUUCUACGGUUCUUCCUUGUAAAGUUCUGAUGGAACUCCCUCAUCUUUUAGGGUGGAAGGGCGCUCAGAAUGUCAUGGUUAUAAUAGAUAUGAGCAUGUGUAGUUCUCUUGUGUGCUCACUGUUUGCCCGAUGAAUCUGAGGUUUAUUCUCCACUCUGACUCAAGUUUGGUUUCACUAGGAGACCUCCUGAAAUUAACAAAACAAAGGGCAAUGCUGAAUUUAAAGUCUUGAAACCUUUGAGUUGUGCAAGGUUGUCAAAAAGACAUGGAAAUCAGGAUGAUAUCCUUUGGAGUCUGUCAGAUCCAAUGAAACACGCUCUUGUCUACAAAAGGCCAUGCUAUAUGUCAAGGGUGCUUGAUUAUCUUAACCUGAAGACUCUCACAUGGUUUAUAAGAAAGGCUUGCAUGUGGUCUCCCAUCCAAGCACUGACCGGCUUCUGACCUGCUUAGCUUCAGUACAGUUGCCUUCCACUUAUAGGAUGGGACCUGCUGCUUUUCUCUUGCUCUGAUGCAUCAGCCCAGCAUUAAGUUAUUUGGGAAGCAAGAAAGGUGUGUUUGGCUAAAGAGGCCAGUGUUUGCCUGCAUAGUUAAAACAGAUGUGCUCUUCCCUUCCAGGCUUCUACUGCCCUGAAGGAACAGGCUUAAACUGGCACCCCUGUCCCCCAGGAACCUACAGUCCUACCCCAGGGAUCAGCCGUAUUACUGACUGCAGAGCGUGUGAUGGAGGGAGGUUCUGCCUGUACCACAAUGCCACUGAUGUCACUGGAUUGUGUUGGGAAGGGUAUUACUGCACCCAAGCAUCAGACCGGCCUAAUCCUGACACCCACCCAAAUGGUAUGGAGCCUUCCUUGGUUCUUCUGUAACAUUCACCCUUCAGACAUAUGAAGGAUGGGUUUUUUGCCUUCAUCACAGCUGCCUACUGCCCCCCUCUCAAUGGCUGGUAGUCUAUGCAAAGAGCAAAGCACAUAAAAGGGUGUCAUCCUGGAAAGGCAGAACUUUAUACAAGAUCUUGGAAACUUACUUUUACAGUUACGGUUAUAAUCUAAAGGCCUUCUCCAUAGUAAUUUGUUCCCACUGUAAUUACUUACAUAUUUGGCUAACUUGCUCUUUCUGAAGAAUGUCUCCCACCAGGACAAAGACUCUAACUGGAACAUCUGGAAGUCACUUAAUAGACUUCAAAACAAAGUAGGAAGAUUAAAGAAUAAUCAAAUAAAAUGGGUCUACUUGGAUACA